rnacentral:rRNA from 1 species
CCAAUAGCGUAUAUUAAAGUUGUUGCAGUUAAAAAGCUCGUAGUUGAAUUUCGGGAUCAAUACGCUGGUCGUGCCAUUGGUACGUACUAGUAUUAUUGGUUUCUCCUUUCUGAUGAAUCAUGAUGUCAUUAAUUUGAUGUCAUGAGGAAUCAGGACUGUUACUUUGAAAAAAUUAGAGUGUUUAAAGCAGGCUCGAGCUUGAAUACAUUAGCAUGGAAUAAUGAAAUAGGAUGUUUGAUUCUAUUUUGUUGUUUUCUAGGAUUGAAGUAAUGAUUAAUAGGGAUAGUUGGGGGCAGUAGUAUGCAAUUGUCAGAGGUAAAAUUCUUGGAUUUAUUGAAGACUAACUACUGCGAAAGCAUUUGCCAAGGAUGUUUUCAUUAAUCAAGAACGAAAGUUAGGGGAUCGAAGACGAUCAGAUACCGUCGUAGUCUUAACCAUAAACUAUGCCGACUAGGGAUCGGAUGAUGUUAAUUUUUUAAUGACUCAUUCGGCGCCUUACG